rnacentral:misc_RNA from 1 species
GCCGUUUAUACUCAAUAGCUUGUAAGUGUUCAAGAGGCUGAAAAACUAUUUCACUUCCUUGUUGGGGAAGAGGCAUAGAAUGAUAACCACAAACUAUCUGCAGCAAAUCAUUUUUGUUUUCCCUAGCCCAUUCCAUUAUGAAGUCAUCAUCAAAAUCUUUUUCACAAUUUGCAAAAAUUUCAUCAUCCUCAUCCUCUAAUGCCAUGCUUCUAACUGGACUGAAUAAAGAAUCAAAACUUCCUCGACAUUCCAAACCAUGGCUCCUAGAGCAGUUAAAUGCUCCAAUCUCAGGAGAGGCUUGGCUACUUUCAUAGCUCCCAUCCAUUCUUUCCAAAGCAUCAGAGCGAGUUUCUGAUGACUCAGAAGCACAAUCAUCAGAAUUCUUCCUAUCAUCCUUCUCUACUUCCCUUACUAGACUCAAAUCUGAAGCCUCGCUAGUAGAACCACUUUCAGGAGAAUGAGAUUCCCAUAUCUUUGGUGACAAUGUUCGGGU